CAUCGUGAACGCUACCUAAACCGUUGCUUCGGCGGGCGGCGCCCUCGCGCGCCCCCCUGGGCCCGCACCGCGGGCGCCCGCCGGAGGUACACCAAACUCUUGAUAUGUUAUGGCCACUCUGAGUCUUCUAUACUGAAUAAGUCAAAACUUUCAACAACGGAUCUCUUGGUUCUGGCAUCGAUGAAGAACGCAGCGAAAUGCGAUAAGUAAUGUGAAUUGCAGAAUUCAGUGAAUCAUCGAAUCUUUGAACGCACAUUGCGCCCGCCAGUAUCCUGGCGGGCAUGCCUGUUCGAGCGUCAUUUCAACCCAUCAAGCCCACGGCUUGUGUUGGGGACCUGCGGCUGCCCGCAGGCCCUGAAAACCAGUGGCGGGCUCGCUAGUCACACCGAGCGUAGUAGCAUACGACCUCGCUCAGGGCGUGCUGCGGGUUCCAGCCGUAAAACGACCUUC
rnacentral:rRNA from 1 species